AUUGAACGCUGGCGGCAUGCUUUACACAUGCAAGUCGAACGGUAACAGGCCGCAAGGUGCUGACGAGUGGCGAACGGGUGAGUAAUGCAUCGGAACGUGCCCAGUCGUGGGGGAUAACGCAGCGAAAGCUGCGCUAAUACCGCAUACGAUCUCUGGAUGAAAGCGGGGGACCGAAAGGCCUCGCGCGAUUGGAGGGGCCGAUGUCAGAUUAGGUAGUUGGUGGGGUAAAGGCCCACCAAGCCAACGAUCUGUAGCUGGUCUGAGAGGACGACCAGCCACACUGGGACUGAGACACGGCCCAGACUCCUACGGGAGGCAGCAGUGGGGAAUUUUGGACAAUGGGCGCAAGCCUGAUCCAGCAAUGCCGCGUGCAGGAUGAAGGCCUUCGGGUUGUAAACUGCUUUUGUACGGAGCGAAACGGCUUCCACUAAUACUGGGGGCAAAUGACGGUACCGUAAGAAUAAGCACCGGCUAACUACGUGCCAGCAGCCGCCGUAACAC
rnacentral:rRNA from 1 species